rnacentral:rRNA from 1 species
CUAGCGGGAUGCCUUACACAUGCAAGUCGAACGGCAGCGGGAAAGUAGCUUGCUACUUUUGCCGGCGAGUGGCGAACGGGUGAGUAAUGUAUCGGAACGUGCCCAGUAGCGGGGGAUAACUACGCGAAAGCGUGGCUAAUACCGCAUACGCCCUACGGGGGAAAGGGGGGGAUCUUAGGACCUCUCACUAUUGGAGCGGCCGAUAUCGGAUUAGCUAGUUGGUGGGGUAAAGGCCUACCAAGGCGACGAUCCGUAGCUGGUUUGAGAGGACGACCAGCCACACUGGGACUGAGACACGGCCCAGACUCCUACGGGAGGCAGCAGUGGGGAAUUUUGGACAAUGGGGGAAACCCUGAUCCAGCCAUCCCGCGUGUGCGAUGAAGGCCUUCGGGUUGUAAAGCACUUUUGUCAGGGAAGAAAAGGUUUCGGAUAAUACCCGGAACUGAUGACGGUACCUGAAGAAUAAGCACCGGCUAACUACGUGCCAGCAGCCGCGGUAAUACGUAGGGUGCAAGCGUUAAUCGGAAUUACUGGGCGUAAAGCGUGCGCAGGCGGUUCGGAAAGAAAGAUGUGAAAUCCCAGGGCUCAACCUUGGAACUGCAUUUUUAACUACCGAACUAGAGUAUGUCAGAGGGGGGUGGAAUUCCACGUGUAGCAGUGAAAUGCGUAGAUAUGUGGAGGAACACCGAUGGCGAAGGCAGCCCCCUGGGAUAAUACUGACGCUCAUGCACGAAAGCGUGGGGAGCAAACAGGAUUAGAUACCCUGGUAGUCCACGCCCUAAACGAUGUCAACUAGCUGUUGGGCCCUUCGGGGCUUAGUAGCGCAGCUAACGCGUGAAGUUGACGCCUGGGGAGUACGGUCGCAAGAUUAAAACUCAAAGGAAUUGACGGGGACCCGCACAA